UUCAAUUUUUCCUUUGCAUUUAUGUCAUACAUGCUUGCAUUUAAUUUGAGGGUGUGCAUGCUUCAUCCAUAUCAACAACAUGCAUUUAAUUAAGACAUGCUCAUUGAUUUUUAACAAUGUUUUUUUUGGAGACUUAAUUGAGAACCUAUGAACUCUCCACAACAUUUUUGCUAUUUUAUUAUUAUUAUUAUGUUUAUAUUUUUGCUAGACCACACGAGAAUCUACUUCAUAUAAAUUUGUCACCGUUAAUUGGUAUAGUAAGAACAUUUGCCAGUUGAAUUUAAUUUUAUGCAUGCUUUGUUUAUACAUUAAUUUUUUUAUGAGCAUGCAUUUCUUAUUGUCAACCAUGUAUAUUCAAAUGUGAUGAAUACUCGCCAAAGUGAGCUUCUUUAACUAAUAAAAAUGUUAUCUCAUUGACUUUUAAUUUAAAAGCUAAUAAGUAGUGAAUGUAUGUACAAUGUAUAUAUGUGAUUUAGGAUUCAUUGUUUUAAACUAGACUUAUUAUUAUUUUUAAACUAAUCAAUUCUUCACUAACUCGUUUGGUCAAGUGGUUAGGGCAGCAAUUCGAACCCCCACAAGCGCAAUGUGAGAGUAUUUCAUUCCUUAAUUAUAUUGUAUAAUUAAGUGAAGGUAGUCUUCUUCCUUACCCAAGUGUGAGUGGAAUAUACAUCCCUUGGAUAUUAAUGAGAGUUAAAAUUUAGACAGAACUCAAGAAGUAUUUAUGUAAGUUGGUCUCAGUAAUAGUAUGAUUUGUAAAUAUCAGUUAUAAUCUCAUGUAAUAUGAGUUGUAAUUUUAGCAAUAGUCUCAUAUAAUAAAAAAAAAAAUUGUUUCACGAGGUGUUUGAGGGAAAGAUAUGAAAGGUAAUAGAGCGCCACGUGUCAGCCAAUGGAAUGAUAUCAGCACAAUCGGAGGUACCCUGCAUAAUCCGAGGUGCCCGACAUGACUUGAGGUACCCCGUAUAAAUAGAGGUACCCUGCACAAUUAGAGGUAUCCCACACAAAUAGAGGUACCCCAUACAAAUAGAGGUACCCCAUACAGAUAGGGGUACCCUGCGUAAUAGGGGGUACCCCAUGUAAUUCGAGGUACCCGGCAAAGCGGAUGCAAGAGAAUCCACCGAAAAUAUCCGCCAUGAGAAACGUCUCCGCCUCCUAAAAGAUAUCAUUUGAUUUUGUCAGAAUUAGGAAUCAAAAGCGACGUGCUAAAAGGAGGGACAGCCGCCUGCUACCUCUGCCAAAAGUGAAGGACACUGUCCCAAGGACAGUGGUCCCUAGCCGCCUACCCGACAGCUACUGCAGAGGUACCCUGGACCACUCUCCAGCACGCGCCACGUUUCCAAAAGAUGAGAUACGCCGCGAACAUGCAAAUAACGGCCCAAAAAUAAUUAUAAAGAGGUAAAAGGACGUUAGCCAAAAAGGGUACGCCACGUGGCAGCUGAGGUACUCCAUAUAUAAAGGUGCCUAGGUUUCAUUCUCCGGGAGAGGCUCUCACUCACCAUUAACACUCACACUCCAAAAAAUAGGUUUUCUUCAACCUUAAACCCUAAAUUUACAGAGGGCUGGCCAGCUCUCUUUACCAUUAAAGCUUGAGUUUGCUAACUUGAGCGUCGGAGUGUGAACGCCGGGGUACCCCGGCUUCACCUCUAACCUAUAUUUCACUGUUUUGCAGGCGUGAAACUCAUUUGGAAGGACACCUCUCUCGUUUCUGACCUUUCACCAUUGUUACCACUCUCUCUCCCCUUCUCACCUCCCCCGAAUUUCAGAUACACCGCACCGCACACAAUAAACCAGUGAGGUACCCCAUCUCCCCCAAAAAUAUAAAUUUAUUGUUCUAGAUUGGUUUGAUUUUUCUUACCCCCAAAAUCAGUUGAAAACACGAGGUAUUACUUUAUGUACUAAAGUCUCUUAAAUGGACUUGGUCAAGAGUUUAAUAGGAAUUGAGUUAUUCAUACCAUCUAAAUUACAACCCACGUCCGUGAGAAUUGAGUCUUAUUUUAAUCUAUCAUAGAGUACGUGCCUUGUCGAUCGGAGCAGGUCUUUGUACCUAACAUGGAUUUUUGGGCAGUAAUAAUAAAUGAAUAAAGAUGAAGGUUAUUCAGUCAAUAUUUACUUCUUUAGGUAUAUUUUCCUCGGAAUGAACUUUCCUGUAGUAUUAUUAUUUCCGGGGGGGGUAAUUUUUAAAAACCUCCCCUGAGGUUCGAAGCUGUUGCAAGUAGAUGGUUAAAAUCGUUUUAUUUGUAAAAGACCCCUUACGUUUUAGUUCCGUUUGAUUAUCGUUUGACUAAUUAGGGGCAUUAUUGACAUUUUAUGUUGUCGUCAAAAAGUUGCCGUUCUUCGCGAAAGCAGAAGAGAGAAGUCGUUCUUCGCGAAAGCAGAAGUAACCAUCCCUGUCCUGAGGCAAGGCAUUGGAGUUGGAAACUGAGUUCUGGAAAAUCAACAACUGAGAAUGGUUUCUUUAGAGGAUCAUAAAUUGCAUUCUUGGUUUCACCGGAGAAUUCACCCAAGAAAAACAGCAAAGGCGACGGAGCUUGAUCUUGUUGUAGUUGACAAGGCUGACCCAUGGCUGCUUUAAGUGGAUGUAAGUCAAGUAACAAAGACAAUUUUUGAAGUUUUGGCUGGUUGAUGUGCGGAAAUGCGAUAUUCAAAGCCAAAAGAAAGAAGGAAAUUUCACAAGAAUUUCUUUCCUGAUUUGUUUUGUUCUUUUGUAUCUUGUUUCCUUUUUUGUUUUGGUUUCCGGAUCAGAUGUAAUUUUUCGAAAAAUUUAUGGCUGAUAUUCAUCUCUUCCUCCUAACGCCCCCGUGGUGUUGUUGACUACCCCUUCCAUUGACCCGCAAGCACCAAUCUCAAGAUGUUGUUGGAGUUGCCCAAGAGAGAAAAGGAACUUUUUGAUAAAACGGUAACUUUUUUAUGACAAUAUAAAAUGUCAAUAAUGCCCCUAAUUAGUCAAACGGUAAUCAAACGGAACUAAAACGUAAGGGGUCUUUUACAAAUAAAACAAUUUUGACCAUCUACUUACAACAGCUUCGAACCUCAAGGGAGGUUUUUAAAAAUUACCCUUUCCGGGGGUGGGGGGGAAUUCUUCCAUUCUUUGGACCCAAAUUGGCGGUAGACUUGACUCCUCCUAUCAACUUUAAUGGGAAUAUGUGAAGAAAUCAACAUUAUUGUGUGAUGUACGUGGGUUGUUUUCCAACCUAGCAGCUUAACUAACAAGACAAGAACUUGUUAAAUUCUAAAAAGUCACAGGCUGAAACGUGGAUAUUUUCGAUUGGAUAACUCAAAUACCUUGACUUGAUAUAACCAUUAUCAAAGUUUUAUUUAUUUAUUUAUUUUAAAUUGUAAAAAUGAUCAAAGUUAAAGACUUGCAUGGCCGUAACUGGUCAGCCUCUACAGGUGCAUCAAAUUAAAUUACAUUGCAUCUUAGACCCAACACUAAUAUGUUAUUGAAACAUUUAUUCCGAUGAGAAAUAAGAAAGAAAAAUAAUGCUGACCCCAUAAAUAAAUCCCACCUUAACUCCAUGAAAAUAAAUUUUUGGAUAAGUUUAUUAUUAAUUCAAAAUUUGGAGUAAUUUUAUUAUUUAUUUAAUUUUUAUUUACUCUUGUGGGGGAUUAAGGUGAGAUUGGAGUGCACUCUCUAUCAUUAUUCGAUAAGAAACUUUUACUUGGAUGUUAAUAAAAAAUUAGGAAAAAAUAUCAACAAGUUAUGGAAAUUUGAUGAUACUUCAAAAUUCAAUGUCCUUGUAAUUAUUAGACUUAUUUUUAGUAUUAAUAUUAAUUAUUGUCUAUCCAUUUAAAUUUUUAAGUUGUGAUUUGUUUUAUACGACAUCAAAGUCUUAAGUUUAAAUUUACUCUCUCGUUUGCAAACUCUAUUUUAAUUUUUUUUCCCUCACUUUUAAACUCUCUUAUCUUUCGACUCAUCUAUACGCUUCUGUCCUAAGUUCUAAGUCUUUAUUCUACUAUAAUUGAGAAGGAAAAGCCAGACUUAUUUAUAAUACUAUUAUUAAAUCCUUGCUUAUCAGUCUAUUUAGAACCUCUUGUCUGAAGCCUCUCUCCACGUUUCAUAUUCAGGGCAUGUCCUAUAACUGUAAGGCAUAAGCUUAAGCUUUUGGGUUGAAGUCCAACUGAUUUUUUCCUCUUAACAGAAGCAACAAUUGGAAAGCAACUGUGGUAGUUAGAAUGAAGAACAUAUAUAACAGAAGAAGGUUGAAUGGGGAAAAUUGUUGGUGGCUAGCUGAAACGAUUCAAGCCACGCAGCAGGUGGGGUCGUAGGAUUUGCGUAUCCAACAUGUACUCGAAAUAAUAGCUAAAGUAAAAGCACUAACAAGAAAGCACCAACUUGAAGCAGUUAAAGCAGUGUAUCUCAAAUUAAGCUGAUUUUUAGUGCUUUUGUACGACGGAUCAGCUCUUGUUGGAAAAUAUAUUUCUUUCUGUAUUGUUUUAAUUUGGGUCGUAAAGUUUGGAUCAAUGAUUCAAUAUAUGCAAUGCAAGUGGGGUUAUUUGUUAGUGGACAACGCCACAUAUUAUUGCUUAGCUUGGAUUUCACACUCAUCACUAAAAAUUUUAGCCUUGGAUUGUUGGUUACUUUUUCUAGAUUGAAAAUCAACUCAACAUUUCACUUUAGACAUCGUCCACUAAGAUUUGUUUCUGGAUAGCGACAAAUGACUUGUCCUUUGGAAGAUUAGAAGUUUGGCCACCUUUGUUCGUCAUAAACCUUGCUUAUACAUCCAAAAUAGAUUUGACAGAGAUUUUACAGAUGAUAUGUAUAAAUUAUGGAUAUUAUGUUUAGAAAUUUUGUCUUAAUGAAAGAUAAUUUCAUUUUAAUAAAGUGAGAAUGUUAUUAAGAAAAAAAAAAAGUUAUAGAUACUAAUAUACUAACUGAUAAAAGAAAGUCAUAUAUAUAUAUAUGUCUUAUUGUGCUUCUACUCAAUUUUGAAUCUAAAGUGUUUGACAGAUACGUAUUUUUACUUGACAGCUUGAUUAAAAUCUAUACCUAAUAGUUUGUUAGGAUUUAAUCCAAAUGAAUAGCCGUUUCACGCUAUCAAAGCAAAGCCGAGGCUAAUAUUAAGUUGUAUGUAACGGCUAGUCUUGAGCUCCUGAUCUAAAAAGAAUCUCUAGUUACCUCUAAAUGAUCGUCAAUGUACAGUUGAAGCAACCAUUUAUGCCGCUAAUAAGGCAAGAAACCAAAAGGCUCCCUUUAAAGCUUUCGUCCUUAUCUGCAUUGCGAAGGACAAUUAAAUAGAAUUUAGACUCUGUUAUCAUUCAAGACUUACGUAUGAGUACUCCCCCCAUUCACAUCGGAGAAAGCAACAACUCCGAUUUGGACUGAUUGAUUUUUUCAUCAAGAUUUGAAAGCAAGAGCGAGUGUCUGGCUCUCUUAUUUUUCAAUACACACCACAAAGUUCAAAGUUAUUAACACAUACAUGUGGUACAUGUUUAUUUAUUUAUUUGGAUAAGAUGUGAAACAUGUUUCUGGCUCUUGUAAAUUAGAGACUCAAAGUGACUUUAAGCAGACUCCCUCUUUCUCAAUUAAAAGUUUUUGAAUUUUGAUUGAGUGCUCUUUCAGUUUCUUUCUGGCUGGCAUCCUGCAUCUCGUGCUUAAAUUGGAAACGACAAAAGAGUACUAUGUCUUGCAUGUUUCAUGACUCGUGUGUGAACGUAAAAUUUGGUUGGGUUUAUAUUAUUAACCUCGUGUGUAAUUACCGGCUUAUUAGUCCAGCCUUCCAGUGUUAUCUGUAGACUUGCGACAUCUCGUCAACCACGUGAUCCAUGUAAUUGGAACCGACCAUUUAGCUGCCAUUAUUAAGAUAAGGAUGGAUCCUUAAUCACUUUUUUGAUCGGCUACAAGUUUUUAAUUAAACAAUUUCAUACUAUUCGUUAGAAAUAUAUAUAAUAUUCCUCAUCAUGCAGGCGAUCUAUCACCACGUUAUUCAGCCAGGUACCACACAAUUAAAAAUCAGUUCCUCGUUGAUUCUUUGGCCUUCUUUUUCCAAACGAUGGUUUUAGAAUUAUGAGAACAAAAGAAUCGUGCUUUAAUCACUAGCUUCUGCACGGACUCGAAAUUUCUGAAUUCCUCAUGCAUGGGAUCCACAUACUUACAUUUCUCCCAUAACAUAUUUGACAUUUUGUGGGUGCUUAUUAGUUGAAUUAGUAAACUUUCUUAUAUUAAGAUCUAAAGUUAGAACCUUACUCGUACGAGUGUGAAGAGAGAGGACAUUGAAUUGUCCUAAUGCUAAAUACUUUUUUUUUAUAUUACAAAAUAAUUGAUUUUAGAUACUAGUAGUACCUUAGAUAUUUUCCAUUGAAAAUUUGACCAAAUUUAAUUUUUAGAAAUAAGAUGGAUAUGUGGUGGUGAUGUUAACACGUAAGCAGACAAUUAUUCAAUAAAAUUUUUCCAUAUGCACUAGCAAUAAUGCUAUAUUUCAGUCUUAUUUUGUACUGUAACUUUUAAGCUGUAAUUGCUGUAAAAAUAAUUAUAGUAAUAAAAUAAAAAUUAAUAGUGUAUAGUAAAUAUGACUGUUAAAUAAUAAUAUUAACAAAAAUAGUAAAGAUAUUAUAGUUAACAUAAAAAUAACUGAUCAAAUUAAUUUAUCUUUUAAUUUACAGUAACUAGUAUUUACUAAAUACUUUAGCGUUGUAGCUUUUAAACUAUAAUGGUCUAACCUCAAUACUAAACGGGACCUUACUAAGUUUAGAUACUUAAUUAGGAUACUUGCUGAUUUGUCAUCAAUCAUUUAAUGUCAUGUAUAUGAUAAUAAUUGAUUUAUUAUCAAUUAUUAAUUUAUUAUUUUUAUAACUCAAUUAAUGGUUGACACAUAAUAUGCCGUAUUAUUAAGUAUCCUAAUUAAACAUCUAAAAUAAGGAAACAUAACAUUACUCAUACACUAAUUACUAAAUUUAAAAUCAUCAUAAAUAUGUGAAAUUAGGUUGGAUGUUGAUGUGCUCACAAUUGAUGAUGUUAACACCACUAGCCUUUCUUGGUAGGGUGUGAGAUUGCGACUCUGAAUAUAUAUAGUGUAUAUACUUCAAUCAAACUUUCCAUUUUUCAAUUUUAUUUAUGCUGGUUUCGUCUCAAUUUCCAUUAAUAUUACAACUUUUUAAAAGGCAAUCCUUGACACCUAGAUAUUUUGCACAAACGAAUGUAAUUAGCAAUUAGUGGUGUGUUUACCUCUUGGAUAGGGACUGAGAAUAAAUGAUUUUCUUUAGUUAUUGAUAAUGUUUAUUUGCUAUAAAAGGAAUGGAAAUGAAUUUUCAUGUGAACCCACAAAUUUCAAGUAAGGAAUGAGAAUUACAUUUUUAUAGGGAAUUUGAGAAUGAAAUGAGAUAAUGAGAAUGAUGAGUGUAUUGAUAUUUUUACGCUUAAAUUGAAUAAAAAAUCUCUUUUACCCAUUUAAAUAAUAAUAAUAAUAAUAAUUGCUCUUUAUUUUUGUUAGUGAACAAAUGCAUAAUUGUUAAUAAGAGCAUUUUAAUAACUUGCGAUAAUUUAUUCCGAUUACAAGAUAAAACAAAUACGUUAAUAGAAAUAUAGUUCAUCUCUGAUUCUGAUUCUGAUUCUGAUUCCUGUAACUCAAGUGAAUAAUUUAUUAUUAUUUUUAUUCAUCAUCUUGAUUCCAACUUAUCCUAUCCAUACUCGUUCCGGUUCCGAAAAAUUAAAGAACCGUAAGUCUGUUGUGAUGAACACGUAUAGGACACUCUCUUAAGCUUUGCCAAUGGAGUCAAGGUUAAGUCAAAAUACCCUUUUACGGUUAAAGCCGAAAUUCAUACAGUGGAUUUUGUAAAUUCUGAAAAAGUGAUAGGCCCACAGCAACAUUAACAGCGAGCCAGCAAGCUCCCCCACCACCCUCUCAUCAAAUUAGCAAACGCUUUUUCAGUAGCAUCUCAUGAUAGUAAUAGUCUUUUGUUUCUUUUUUCGUCGGCAAUUGACUUUUCUUUUCCGUGAUAAAAACCCAGGCAAAACUUACAUCUAUUAAGUAAUUUAAGGAACUAACAGAGGGAAAUAAAAAUAUUCCUGAUGGAGAACAACCCUAGUUCCUCUAGAACUGACAGAAAAACCAUUGAGAGAAAUAGAAGAAAUCAAAUGAAGGCCCUUUACUCCACUCUCAAUUCUCUUGUGCCCCAUCAAAGACCUAUGGUAUAUCUCUCUCUCUCAACAACAUUAAUUUUCUAACUGAUCAUUUCUGUUUUUCUUUUCGGUUUAAUCAACAUGGAGUUGCAGGAAGCGACAUCACUACCUGAUCAGCUAGAUGAAGCUACCAAGUACAUAAAGAGGUUACAGACAAACUUGGAGAGAAUGAAGGAGAGAAAAGAGAGGUUAAUGGGAAUUGAAAAGCCUGAUGCAGCUGCAGCCACAAGCAGCAGUGGGAAUAGUAGUGGAACAAUAACGACCGGGUUAAGGUCACCGCAAAUUGAGAUUCACGAAAUGGGUUCGGCUUUGGAGGUGGUUUUGACAACUGGGUUGGAUUUUCAGUUCAUGUUUAUUGAGACUAUUCGCUUGCUCCACGAAGAAGGUGUUGAAAUAGUCAAUGCCAGUUUCAAUGUUGUUGAAGAUACCAUCUUUCACACAAUACAUUCUAAGGUAUUAUUAAUUAAGUUGCACAAACAUAUUACAUAUAUAACAAUCAUCUUUAGGUUUUCUAAUUAAGAAUGUUUCAGUGGUAAAAAUUUCUUUUGGCUGUUUAAAUUGUGAAGCAGAUUGGAGAUUCUGGGUCGGACCAUGAUGCUUCAGCAAGGAUAUCAGAGAGACUGAAGAAGUUUGGCCAAGAUGGUAGUGCAUUUUGAAGUAUACGGUAAGAUGCAUGAUUCCUUUUUUAUGGAGGAAGCAUGUAAGGUUCAUCACUCAAUAUCUUUGCAUCAAUGUGAUCUAGAAACCUAAAUGCUCUAAUUAAAAAGUGUGCCCAUUGAGGAUUUUUUGUUCUUAGUAGUCUUUCCAUCUUGGUUUUUGUGUAGAUGCAGUUGAAAAAAAGAACUGUAUUUGACUGUCUAGCUAUCGACACAAUAACCCUAGGUAAUUAAAGUGUGAUUAGAGUUCUGUGUGUUAUUAAUUAAUUCUAGUUAAACUACGGCUAGUGCAGCAGCUUUUGAAUAUUUCAUCUGGUAAUGUGUUCAGACGACUAUUUGCUUUCAAAUGCUACGAUAAUUGCUUGAUUAAUAUUGGAUUACACUUAGUUGCUUGAUUAAUUUUGGGUUACACUUAAUUUGAUGAUCAUAAUGUGGAUUUGAUAAAGCUAGCGUUAAUUAUUUAUGCUUCUGCUGGUUAUAUCUUAUUGGCUACAAAUGGGCACAUUUGAUCUGGUCUGUUUAGAUUAAUAUAUAAAAAUCUUGACCUCUCAAUGUUCCUUGUUCAUCACAUGUUGACUUUGACAUUCCUUCCAUUCUUAUAUUAAAUAGCUAGAUUAACAUGUAAUGUUUACAUACAAGUACAGCAUGUAUCUUCUAAAUUGUUAGAGGAGAUAAUCAAUUUGGUUGCGACUUUUGAAUUUGAGAUUGGUAAUGGAAAAUCAUGUUUGUAUUCAACUUAUAUAUACAAUAGAUAUAUAUGGCUACUAGUUUUGAAGACUUUAGCAAGAUGAGUGGCGACUGGCAAGAGUAUAAAGAUCUUCUAAACGUGUCAAAUUGUUUGUAAAAUUAGAUACACUUUUUUUUAGGUGUGAAAAAAUGAGUUUUUUUUUUUUGAAAGAGUGAAAAACUGAGUUUAUUUCCUUCUUCUUCCCUUUUUUUUGCCCUUUCUUUUUCCCCACUUCAAAGAUGAUUGAUGACUGGUCAUUUAUAUGUUUGAAGCAGUCAAUAAGACUGACAUGGGAUGAAGUCAUGAAGGGUAUUGAAGGGAUAUGUUGUUGAAGGAUUGCACGCAUAAAUAUAAUAUUUGUUUCUUGCGGGUCCAUUUCCUCAUGAGGCCAUAUUUGCAAUUUAAUUUUAGAGCAUAAAAGAAUUUUUCAUGAUCAAAUAAAUCAGAAAGUAGAAAUUUAAAACUAGUAUUGAUUCUUCUGAGCUGAGGAAAAUAUUUAAGUGACAGAGAAUAGAGUUUAAAUUAUUUUUUUUUUCCUCCUCAACUACUUGUGCUAGAAAAUAAAUAAAGUCUAAGUCAAUCUGAACACAAUAAUGUUUACAGUUACAUAAUUUGUAUUUAACUAAUAAUAUCACUAGACAUCCCAUGUUGAAAUUAAUUUAGGCUUUUUCCAGUUUUCAAACCAACAGGACCCAUCCCUCUUUGCGUUGUAGUGGUCUAGUUACACAACAUGUACUGCUCAUCUUUAUAUAUGCUAUCAUGGUAAUUUGGGUGCAUUUGGCCUGCCGGAUUAAAUUAGAUAUGAUAGUAUUAGGUUAACUAGGAUUGUACUGGAUAUUAAAUAGCCAGAUUGCUAGAACAUGCAAUGUUCACAAGCGACUGCAUGCAUAUUAUUCUAAAUCCUACACUUUAGAAUUUGAGAUUGGUAUGAGAAAUCAAAUCAUGUUUGCGAUCAGCUUAUAAAACAUAUAUUAUAUGGCCACAGAUUUUGAAGACUUCGGGAAGGAAGAUGAGUGACAACUAGCAAAAGUAAAAGAAUAUUCUAUGUCAAAAUUGCUUGUAAAUUCAGAUGCAAUUUGGUUUAAGGUGUGAGAGAAUGAGUUUUGCUUCUUUAUUAAUUUCUUCCUUUUUAAUUAAACCGGUCGAAGAUUAUUGAUGUCUGGCCAUAUGUUUGCAUGUUAAAAGCGCUAAUGCCAGUCUUCAGACAUAAUUGCAUAUUAAUUGAUGUAUUAAUGAGAAGAAACAUUUUAGUAAUAAAGUCAAUUAAUAUUGCACGUAGAGGUUUAUUUCAUCAUAUUAUGUACAACAGAACAGAAUAAUGCAUAAAGGGCAACAGUGUAUGUUUCCAUGCGAUGCUAUAUAUAUAUAUAUAGAAAAAGAAGAAAAAAAAAAAAAGGUGCCACAUGGUUACUGUUUUAAUUUUCCUUCAAGUACUUGUACUAGAAACUUAGAAAGUAAAAUAAAAUGGAGCGUAAAUCUGAAUGCAUUGGCUUAUAUGAUUAUGGCCAUAGCAGAAGAGACCUCCUUCCUUAUCCACUCAUUUUGUGGCUCCAUCAAUUCUAGUGCUGGUAAUCAGUAAUCAGUAAUCAGUAAUCAGUAAUCAGUGUAGAUAAUAAAUAAAAGCAUAUUACCCAGUUUUGAGGCACGCAAGGCUGCUUCGAGUUUUCAAAUCAAUGGCGGGGUUGGUGGGAUCCAUCCCCUGUGUUGUUGUGGUCAGGGUUCAAACUUCAAAAUGUUUAUCCGUACGCUACGCAAUUACACUACGACACUGCUCAGUGCCAAGUUUAGGAGAGAGAAAUACUUAUAAAGUAUUACAAUUAACCAAUGGGGGUGGGCGUUGGUUAGGAUCGAUUUGGUUUUGGAAUAAAUUUUUUAUUUCGGUUCAAUUCGGGUUUGAAAUUUUAAAAACAAAUCAUCCAGUCUUUAAGGAUAAUAAAAAUAGAAUCGAAAUUAAUAGUUUAGUUUGGUUCGAUUUCUCAAUUUUUCAGUUCGGUUUUAAUUUUUUAGUUUGAUUUUGAUUUUUCGGUGAUGGUUUAAAUUAACAAAUUAAUUUUUUAGUUCGGCUUAACUUGCACACAAGAUCUACUACGAUCCAUGUAUAAUAAACAAAAAUAAAUAAUUUACAAAUUAGUAUUCAUGAAAAAAAAAUUGCAAUCAUUUUCAACUAUAAUAAAGAAUUUUCGUAAUUAUUAUGACUAUCUUUAAUAUAAAAACUUUUGGACUAAAAUUUAAAUAAAAUAAAUUAAGUUUCCAUGCCAUAAUUGUUUUAUCAAAACUUUAGGGACCAUAACAAUAUUUUACCCAACAACUUCCUUUCAAGGACCCUCUUAAAAAGUUUACAAAAUAUAUUAGGGACCCUCUUUAAAAGUUUGCAAAAAAUAUUAGGGCAUAACAAAAUUUCUACAUGCAAACAUUCCGUAAACAUUGGAUGAUACUAAAAUUUUAUAAAGGAUAGGGAUCAAAAUGAUAUUAUCGAUUCAGUUUGAGUUUUGUUACUCUCGGUUCAAUUUCAAAUGGUUUGGUUCGGUACUUACACAUUUUUUUUGGCUUUAAAAAAAUUGAAUCGAAACUGAAAACAACCAAACCAUUAUGCGUGUGUGUAAUUAAAUUUAAUAUAACCAUUAUUUGUAUGAUGAUUUUUUAAAAUAAAUACGCAUAUGUCAUAGCAUCAUUUACUUGUUAUAUUUCUGAUAUCAUACCUCUAAUUUAUUCUAAAAUUUCUCUAUCUUUAGAUAUAUUAACAAUAUUUUAUCAAAGACUUUCAACCGGAAUAAUAAUAAUAAUAAACAACUAAAUACUUAUAAUCUAUAAAUGAUAAUAUUAAAAAAAUAAUAUAACCACACGCACAAACCUAGGUGUGGGCGCAGGUUUGAAUUGACACAGGCUGACACGCGUAGGGAUGGUAAAAUAUGGGUUCGGGUGUGGGUUUAGCCUUUUCAGAUCUGAAUCCGGACGCAUAUUUUCUAUACCGGACCCGGUAAUAAACCCGCCUUUUCCACUUUGGGUCUGGUCCGGGUUCAACCCGGGAAAAUUCGGGUUCCCGGAUUGCAGGUUUUCAACCCGAAUUGAUGAAUCCAAUUGAAAAAAAAAACUAAAUUCAAUUGAAAAAUCAAAUAGAAAUACAAAUCCAGAAUUUCAGCAAAUCAAGUACAAAUUUAGGUUUUAAACAAACCAAAUACAAAUCAGCUCGUUCAAUUCUUGGUUCGAUAUCAUCAUCAUUAUGAGUAAUGAUACAGCCACAAACUCUUGUACAAACUUAUUUUGUACAAACUGACGUGGCAUUAAUUCAUUGGUUGAAUGAAAAUAUAUAUUAAUAAAAACAAAUCAUGUGGGCCAAGUGAUAUUUAAUUCAACCAAUCUUAUCAUGCCACAUCAGUUUGUACAAAAUAAGUUUGUACAAGAGUUUGUGGCUGUAUCAUUACUCCAUCAUUAUUAUUGCAUUUAAAUCAAAUCGAUCACAUUUUCAGCACUUUAAUCUAUUAACAGCAACAGCCAAGACUUUCAGUUUUCAACCUAUGAGUAGUUCUCCAAAUUUGUUGAGUGGUCGUUUUGAACCCUUCGCAACGGAUUGCCUUAUUUGUUAAAACUUCCUCCACCAAACGCUGUUCUAAUCUGUGUACGCCAGCAUCGUGUGCACUCCUCUCAAUAGCAACUACCUCGCCUUCUUCCUCGGGAAGAGAAAGGGCAGUACAGAACCGAUGUAACUCCUCAGAGUCCAUGCAGAGAACAGAUGAAAGACAGAAAGAGAAAGUUGAGAUGAGUAGGCGAAAGAGAGAAGAAAGUGAAAGCACUCCGGUUGAGUGAAUAAUCACAACCAACAAUUAAAAAAUAUUUCAAAAUUAAAUAAACUAUAAAUAAUGAUGAUGAUGAACAGCCGCAUCACUGUUGGUUACUGGUCGCGCCAAAGAAGACAAGGAAACAACGACGGGUGAUUAUGAUGAUGCACAGCUGCGAAGGUGAAAACGAUGAUUUGAUGAAAAUGAGCUAAAGAGGGACUGAGAGAGGAAAUGGUUGCUGCGGCUGUGAAAGUGUAAAUGAGCUAGGGCACCAUUUGGGCUUUUUUUUUUUUUCCUAUUUAUAUUAAAAAUAAUUUUAAAAAAUUAAUAUUAAAAUUAAUAAAUAUCCAGGUCCAGAUUCCGAAUAUACGGGUUCACCUGAACUUGAAACCGGACCUGGAUAUAUGCGGGUUUUGAAAAUGGCAUCCGGAUAUUGGAUUUAUUUAAUCCGGUACGAGUUGAACUCGAUCCGAAAAAUCCAGGUUUCGUCCGGGUCCGAGUUGAAUUGCCAUCCCUAAAUAGGCGUGACUGGUCAUUUUUCACUUCUCCACACCCUCAUCGAUACCCAUAAAUAUUAGGCUCAAACUUUUUGUUGAUUUAGUUUGAACAUUACGAAAAAUAUUCAGUUUGAAGGAAAUCAUUAAUAGAAGGCUAAUUAAUAAUAGCACACAUACAAAUUAGUUAUGUCUACAAACUAGUAUACGCAUUAACUAAUCUGUAUGCAUCCAAUUGAUCAACUGUUUUUAAUUUAGUAUUAAAAAUCAACAAAUUAAUUUGUAAACUAAAAUAUUUAAUCUUUUGUUUCACUUACCGAUUCAAAAAUGUCAACAAAAAUUAAUUACCUGUAUAUGGUUGCUUGAUGCAGUAAUGAGGCAUCUCCUACAUCAUGAACCUAAUUAGCUUUUAAAAACAUUAGAACUUAAGCAUAUCUAAAGAGAAAAUAAAAUUUAAAACAAUUUGCGCACCUCUAACUUAAAAAAUAAAUAAAUAAAGUACUUUUAAAUUAUCAAAAUUUGAAACAGGCAACUUAAGUUUAACCAAAUAAUAUGGAUUUUUAAUCCAAAGCGAUGUGAUUGGAUUUGGAUGGUAGUAUUUUAAAUAACUCGGGGUGUAUUUCAAAAUCAUGGCCACUUAUCAAAUGGGCCAAUAAGGGCUGGGUUCGGUUUAUGUCGGUUGGGUUCACUGGCCCAAGUAACACACCCUACACAUGGUACACAAUCUCAAGUAGGCAAAAGGCAAGCUCACAAGUUGAAAAACGGGUUGAACUGGCACUCUUUUAUCUGAUUAUAUUAACUUCAACGUCACCGAAAUCAAAACCCUAGCUUUUUCACUUCAGUCUAAUCACAAUGGUGAGCGGCGAAUUUGAGAUCGGAGCCGUUCCAUUCAAUCCUGACGGCUGGGGCCCACCGGAAUCAACGGCAACCACAACCGCUGCCCUCCCUCUCCACGUGCCGUUUGCCCCCUUCUCCCGAUCGGAAAAACUUGGUCGGAUCGCGGACUGGACCCGCAACGCAUACAACAAUCCAUCAAACCGCCAAAACGCUAGCAAAAAUCCGGCCGACACCGUUUUCGACUUCUCCGCCGACGAUUCCUUUCCUCUGUCUGUCAAUCCCGACGACGACUCCUCCUUCCGUCUCGUGGACGGCAAGCCUCCACCGCGUCCGAAGUUUGGCCCUAAGUGGCGGUUUAAUCAGCACCACCGUCCGCAGUUGCCCCAGCGCCGCGACGAGGAGGUGGAGGCCCGUAAGCGCGAGGCUGAAAAAGAGCGGGCCCGACGUGACCGCCACUACAACCUCAACCGCUCCAACGUCAACCAGACCCGACGUGAAGCUGCAGUUUUCAAAUCCUCUGUCGACAUUCAGCCUGAAUGGAACAUGCUCGAUCAAAUUCCCUUCUCAACUUUUUCAAAACUUUCCUUCUCUGUUUCGGAGCCUGAAGACUUGUUAUUGUGUGGGUCCCUUGAGUACUACGACAGGUCGUACGAUCGUGUCACGCCGAAGAAUGAACGUAGGCUCGAGAGGUUUAAGUACAGGAACUUCUUCAAAGUUACUACCACUGACGAUCCAGUGAUUCGUAGACUUGCUAAUGAGGAUAAAGCAACGGUUUUUGCAACGGAUGCAAUUUUAGCAACGCUUAUGUGCGCGCCCAGGUCAGUUUAUUCGUGGGAUAUUGUGAUUCAACGAGUUGGGAAUAAGUUAUUUUUUGAUAAAAGGGAUGGGUCACAGUUAGAUUUGUUAUCUGUUCAUGAGACGUCUCAGGAGCCUUUACCUGAGGCUAAAGAUGAUAUAAAUUCUGCUUAUUCGUUGAGUGUUGAAGCAGCUUAUAUUAAUCAAAACUUUUCACAGCAAGUUUUGGUUAGGGAUGGUAAUAAGUUGACAUUUGAUGAGCCUAAUCCCUUUGCAAAUGAAGGAGAGGAGGUAGCUUCCGUAGCUUAUAGGUACAGAAGGUGGAAGCUUGACGAUGAUAUGUAUCUUGUUGCGAGGUGUGAGGUGCAGAGUGUUGUGGAUGUUAAUAAUCAGAGGUCGUUUUUGACGUUAAAUGCUCUUAAUGAGUUCGAUUCCAAGUACUCUGGUGUUGAUUGGAGGCAGAAGUUGGAGACUCAAAGGGGUGCGGUUUUAGCCACUGAGUUGAAGAACAAUGCUAAUAAGUUGGCAAAAUGGACUGCACAAUCGUUGUUGGCGAGUGCUGAUUUGAUGAAAUUGGGAUAUGUUUCAAGGGUUCAUCCACGUGAUCAUUUUAACCAUGUGAUAUUGGCUGUGAUGGGGUAUAAGCCAAAGGAUUUUGCCACCCAGAUUAACUUGAGUACUGCAAAUAUGUGGGGAAUUGUGAAGAGUAUUGUGGAUUUGUGCAUGAAGUUGAAUGAGGGGAAGUAUGUGCUUGUGAAGGAUCCAUCUAAGCCGCAAGUGAGGAUCUAUGAGGUUCCCCCAGAUGCAUUUGAGAAUGAUUAUGUGGAGGAGCCUUUGCCAGAGGAGGAGCAGGUUCAGCCACCUACUGAGAAUGCUGAAGGAGUGGAGGCAAAUGGAGCUGCAAAUGAUUUGGAUGAUGUUGUUGUUGAUGCUCAAGCUUGAUGGUAAUAUUCGUUAUUAUAUUUUAUUUAUUUUGGUUUAGCGUUUGCACUUUAAUGAGUUGUACUCUUUUAGCUACAUGUCUUCUAUAACUAUUGUUUGCAUUAAGAUUUGUAGUUUUUGUAUCUAUAAUAUAUAUGUCAAGGCAGCUGAAACAUGGUUGAUGAAUUUUUGUGGUUAAUGCUGGACAACAAUACUGAAUUCCAAGGUCAAGAUACUGGUUGUGAUAUGUUGAAUAUAUGUGAGAUGAGCUGAGAGGUUCCAGUAGUGUUUGCCUAUUUUGGCUUCUGCAUUCUAGGCAUGGUCCUUUUGGCAUUUCUGGGUUCCAGUAGUGUUUGCCUAUCUUGGCUUCUGCAUUCUAGGCAUGGUCCUUUUGGCGUUUCUGCGUUCCAGUAGUGUUUGCCUAUUUUGGCUUCUGCAUUCUAGGCACUGUCCGUUUGGCGUUUCUGUCAUGCUAAGGAUUGAUGAGUUAAAUACUAGUAUGUCUCGGUUUCUUGCCUUAGCAUGCUGGGACUUGUUGGCCACUAGAAAAAGAGCACAUGAAAUAGGAACUAAAAGAAGAUCAAAGAAAGGACAUGAAGGGAUUUCUGUCCCUUAAUUCCAAGAGCAGAAAGGACAUAAGGACUGGGAAAGAGUGAGUUGACUCUUUUGUCCUAUUACUCUGGGAUUAAGGUUGUUAUGUAACUUUUAUUAGUGGUGGCCGUUUGGAAUAAGAAGAUCCUGUGUUUCUUCUUAAAACUCUAGGAACUGAUUUUUUUAAUUUCCUUGACUGAAUACUUCAAAUGCUUGAUGUUUAGGAUCAGUGAUAAGGAAUGCGUAAUUUUUCUCAGCGGUUAGUGAGAUAAGCAACUUAUGGCUCAAUUACUUCUCAAGCUGAAAUUGUCCUUUUACUCUAUUGCAAGGUUUUGAAGGUGAUUCAAGAAACAUAGUUCUUUCUUCGGAUCAAAACUUAAAAUACAAAGUAUAGAUAGAACUUCCUCUGUAAUCUUGAUCUUGGGGCAACAGGAUAAUUGUGCUUCCUGGCUGAAUUUGUAACUUGCAACAUGGCUACUAUUUUGUUUCCAUUCAUAAAAAACUAUGCUGUCUCAGUAUCUUAAAGAUUUAAUCAACUCCUUAAUUUUCAAUCGAAUAUCUUCUUCAGUGGAGUCCACUGUUUCUGUUAUACCUCCAUAUUGAACUGUUUAAUCUUCUUAAAAGAGAUAAAGUGAAGGUACCCUGUUUCUUCUUAGGAUGUAUCCAACACUGUUGUUGUCUGUGGGCAACGGUUAUCUUCUUAACGGUGGCAACUAAUGCAUUUCCUACUGCAUCCAGUUCAUUGCAGUUGGUAGAUUCUGAUUGUUUUUGCAUAUUCAAGCACACUGUUCUCACUGUAUCACUUCCCUCCAUUGUUAACACCUGGUAGCUUGUUACACUCUGACCAUUCCUUUAAUGGCUUGACCACUUCCUGAUCUGAGUUUAGAUUCAUUGUAUUAUUAGUUGUAUUAUGUGAAUUAGUGCGAACUUUUUGAUUUGCAAAAGGUUGCUCAACCCUGUAGCGGAUUUGAAUUGCUGAUUGCUAAAUUACGAUUUGAUGAUUACAGGUCGAAGUCUUUUUUUUUCUAAAAACAGAUACCUGCCAGUGAGUGGUUUGCAUCAUGACAGUAGCAGACUAACAAGCUGAAAGGAUUCUGGCCCUUUUUGACCUGAUGUUUUUGAUGUUGUAAGUCAAGCAGCAGAAUACUUCAAUUAUGAUAGUGUAUGGUGCCCUUUGGAGAUCAGUGGUUAUAAUUAGUUGCCAUGACUUUUGUUGCUAUGGAUAAUGGAACCUUGUCUACAAUGGUUUUCAAGGUUUGAUGAUUAUUUUUUUUCACUUGUUUUGAAUUUUAAUUAUGAUUGAUUAUCUCUUGGCAUUGUCAUGCUUGACUUCAUUAAGGAUAAACGAAGUGAACUUGCUAGAUUGGUGGUGAUACUAUUAUUUAUUAUCUUGUUAUAUUGGCUGGCUGCUUUUGCCUUGUCAUCUCUUGUCAUACUUUGCACUUCGCCACAAAAUGGAUUUUACAGUCAAGACUAACUCAAGGCCGAUAUAUAUGUGUGUGUGUGUGUGUGUGUGUGUGUGUGUGUGUGUGUGUGUGUGUGUGAUGUUUCCCUGCAUGCGUUUUUCCUUGCAAGACAACGCUAGUGUGGGAAGUUUUUCGAAGUUGGACCAUUUAACAUUGGCAGCACAGAACUUGUUACCUACACCAAUUAAUCUUUGGAAGAGGAAGGUUGUGAAGGAUCCUGUGCGUAGAAGAUGUCAGAAUGAGAGAUCUCUUUCAAAACUGAACACAAUCUGAACCUUAAAUCGGAGUGGAUUCUGAUGGGAUGAAUAUUUCAGAUUAAUUUGGGGGGACGUCGAUGUGGUUACCAAUUGCCAAAGAAGGCUAAGAUUGUCUAGCCAAAUUGUGGGCAAAAGCAGAAUAAUAAGAGCAAUAUUGACAACAAAGCAUUGAUUUCCACCAAGUGUCAAUCCUUCAAGUUUAAUUGCCAUGUCUGGAAAAAGAUUCUCCUACUCCUCUCUUUCGAAGAUCAAGAAUCAAUUAGUAGAGGUGUAUGUUCAUGACAUACACCUUCUUCCCAGAGGCUCGGUGCUGGCUGGUUCGGGAGUUGAUGUGGGUUUGGGGCUGCCGACUACGUUUGUGGCUGCGGGUUUGUGAAUCUGGUCAACGAUGUCAAUGCGGCUGGGUUCGUGGGUUUCGUUGGGUUCGUAGACUUUGUCUAAGUCAAGUUGACAAGUUCUUAUCCGAAUCCGAUCCAAUGCCUAGUCCUAGUAAGCAUGCCAAAAAGGUAUGGAAACUGACCGCUUUUCGUACGGAAAAUGUUGGGUGCACUUCAAGAGCUGGCAACGAGCAGUGAGGAAGGAGAAACACUGAAUCGGAUUCCUCUCAAUACGAAAGGCAGCAAGACAGCAAUAUUUUGUGUAUCAAACAACUUCUUGAACUCCAUUUCCUUCAUCUAGCACAAUUGAUGAAAUAAUAAGUCAAUAACAAGCAGAGAGUCUCCUGUGAUAAUUUGAACAGUAAAACUAUCUUUCCUGUACAAAUAUAAAUAAGUCUUCUACAUGAAAUCAACAAUCAUGAAACCAAAGAAUAUAUGAGGGAUAACAAAAUAAAGCACAUGAGCGACUAAAAGUCCCUGGAAGAUCAUAUUAUUCAUACAAAUAUGAAAUAUUUCAAAGAAUUAGAUUGGUAAAAGUCGCCAUCAUGCGGGCUACAAUCUUAUAGAAUCAAAUUAUGCAUCAUUUUAAUUUAACAAAAGAAGAAUGUCCGGGGUAUAAUGAAAACAAUUAAAUAUUGCUAUUUUGAAUUUAAUUGGCAUAACUUAAAAGUAAGUUUUGGUACCAAAUCAUCUUGAAAUAACCACAGGUCAAAUGCAAAGUGUAUAUUAAUGAACAGAAGAAGCAAAGUGAUUGUAAAAGUCACUUGCUUCGCCCUUUCUUAGGUCCACUGCUUGGAAAUAAUACUAGUCUUCCAUUCAAAUUCAACCGCCAUAAUUGUUGGCAGGCUGUGCUCGGGUGACCAAAAGCAAGUAGUUUAGAUAUGGUUCAGCCUUAGAUAUAAGUUUAAGUACCUAAAAAAUAAUCAUUGAUAAACCCUUGCACAACCACUUUCUCUUAUCAUUUUUUUUUUUUAAAGUAACCCAAUUUGAUAAUAGGACUCAAAUUCACAAGAAUUCACUAUCAAAUCAAUAAAAAUAAUCAAAGCGGUUCAUAUGUUUUGACAUCAAAGUGCUAUAAAAUAAGCAAUACUUAUAAAGAAUCUAAUUUUAAAUAAAAAAAAUCUCAAAUAUUGUUUUUUAUCGUAUUUCUUUUUACUUUUUUCUUUUUUAAUUUAAAAUCAUACUUUUAAUCAAUUUGUUAACUAAUUCUAUUAUUUUCAAAUAAUUAAAAAAAUUUAUUAAUAGAAAUAAUUUGUACAUCUGAUUAGAUUCAACAGUACAUGUUACUUAUAGUUAAAAUAAAUGUUUCUGAGGUUGUUGCAUAAUUGUUUGAUAAUAUACCUCAAUGAAGGCAUUGGCGGGAACUCAUGAAUCCCUUGAAUUAAGCAAGCCAUCUGAUGUUUGAAUAUCAGUCGUUGGAUGGCUAGAAGCAUCCAAGGUCAGGAUUGGAUGGUAAUCAAGCUGAAGGAGCAAGAUAUCACAGCUUGUUAAAGACAAGACUGAGCAACUGAAGACAAGAAGACAAACUGCAGUGUCAGGUUGUUAUAACAACUUUUGUAAUGUCUUGUGAUGAAAUUGAUAGUCGUUGAUGCUAGGACUUGAUGUAACUAAAACAUGAGAACCUAGUUCUAUAUAAAGCAUUGUAAUGCAUUGAAUCCACUGGCUGGAAAAAAUAAAAUUGAUUCUUUAUUUUUGCUUGUGAAUUGUGUGAAAACUACUAGCCUCCUUUUUUUAUCUUGGUAUCAGAGCUUUAAAAAUCCAGAAAUGGAUAAUCAAACAACAAAUGAGCCAACCCCAGAAGCUGUAAUCAACAACACACCACCAGCUCAAACACAAAGUCCUUUACCCACCCAAACACAAACUGAAUCAUCAUCCUCACACACAAACAUGCAUGUACCCAUAAGUUUUUCCUUCACAGCCCCUGUGAAACUUGACAGAGGAAAUUACAUUAUAUGGAAAGCCUAGGUCUUGCCUGCUAUCCGUGGCAAUGGCCUGGAAAACUUUAUUGAUAGAACAUCUGUAUGUCCAGAAAAGUUCCUAGUGGAUGCUGAUGCAGAAAACAAUUUCAUAGCAUCUGCAAACCCUGCAUAUGCACUCUGGCGUAGACAAGACCAACUUCUCUUAAGUUGGCUUCUUUCUACAAUAUCAGAGAAUAUUAUCACUGUUGUGACACGUUGCACAACUUCACAAGAACUGUGGUCUGUGCUGGAAAGGCUUUAUGCCUCCCAAUCAAUAGCCAGAUCUAUAGUUAUCAAGAUGCAGUUGCAUGGUGCAAGAAAAGACACACAAACUAUCACUGAGUUUUGGACAAAAGUAAGAAACUUGGCAAAUGAGUUGCAAAUGGCAGGAAAGCCAGUUUCAGAAGAAGAUCUUUGCUCUCAUAUGCUUACUGGCCUUGGCCAAUCUUUUGAGUCCGUUGUUGUUAACCUCACUUCAAGACUUCAUGAACUGACCUUUGAUGAAAUGUAUUCUGUGUUGUUGAACCAUGAAGCCAAACUGGAGCAGAAUGCAACUCACGACAACAAUUUUAAAGCAAAUAUGGCCUCAAGGCAAGAAAUGAACAACUGGACCCAAAAGAGGAAUGAGAGACCAAGGAACCAACCACCAAACCAGUACCUUAGUCCACAAAAUCAAUACUUUGAACCUUCCAACAAUGGUGCUGGAAGACUAAAUAAAGGAAAAGGAAGGGGGAGACCACAUGGAGCAAAGAAGACGGUAUUCAAGCCUGGAGUUUUUUUGUCAAAUUUGCCACAAAGAGGGCCAUACAGCUGAUGAGUGUUGGUACAGAAAAGAAGAUGACUUUGAACCAAAGCCUGAAAACUAUCAACCAAGAGGAGCCUUUCUGGCAACAAAUGAAGAAAGCAAUGAACCAAGCUGGUACUUAGACAGUGAAGCAACUAAUCAUGUCACAAAUGACCUCAACAACCUCAGUGUAAGGUCUGAGUACAAAGGUAACUCCUUUCUCUUAAUUGGAAAUGGACACAAGCUUAAAAUCACACAUAGGAACGAUACAUUUGCCUAUAUAUGCUGGUAACAAAUAUGAACAUCUUGUGCUUAAAAUGGUAUUUGUAGUUCCACAAAUAACCAAAAACCUAUUAAGUAUCUCUAGCCUUACAACAGAUAACAAACUAACAAUUGUAUUUUCUGAUGAAACUUGUGUUGUUAAGGACAAAUUGGAGAAUAUUCUUCUUCAUGGAAUUGAUAUAGAAAGGUUGUUUCAGAUUGUUGGAAGUCAAGAAUAUGUAUGUCCGAGGAAGAGAUGUGCUGCUGAUAGAGUCUACAAAUCAGAGUCUUUGUUUGCUUCAAUAAGUGAGGCUUCUGUCUCAGAAAGUGUUGAUGAGUCUUUAAGUUCUAAGCCUAGUAGUGAGUCAAUUAAUCAACCUGACAUGUUACACAGAAGGUUUGGCCACCCUUGUGAACAGACCCUUAUAAAAAUCAUUUCAAGUUGUAAAAAUUUAUCUACUUUCAAUAAAGAAAAAUCUUUGAGUUUCUGCACUGCAUGCCAAUAUGGUAAAAAUCACAAAUUGACUCUUAAAAGCUCACAAACACAGACAAAGCAGCCAUUUGAACUGAUCCAUGCAGAUCUUUGGGGUCCAGCACCUAUAAUUUCAGGAAAAAGUUACAGGUACUACUUAAGUAUUGUUGAUAAUCACAUAAGAUACACAUGGAUUUACCCCUUAACCAACAAAGCAGAAAUAACACAAACCUUCAUUGACUUCAAGAAUCAAAUAGAGAAAACAUUAAAUAAACAGAUCAAGUGUUUACAGACUGAUAUGAGGGGGAGAAUUUAGACCAUUAACCGAGUUUCUUAGGAACAAUGGAAUCAUGUUCCGACAUUCCUGUCCAUAUACGUCAAUACAAAAUGGUCAAGUUGAAAGGAAGUAUAGGCACAUUGUAGAAAUAACACUCACCAUGCUAGCACAAACAAACAUGCCCUUAAAACUGUGGUGUAACGCCUUUGAAACUGCUGCAUAUUUUAUCAAUAGAAUGCCUACACAGGCCCUAGGUCAUAUCAGUCCAUACAAAAAAGUUUACAACAAUGAGCCUAAUUAUGCCUUCCUAAAAACUUUUGGGUGUGCCCGUUUUCCAUAUUUAAGACCCUAUAAUCAACAUAAACUUCAGUACCAUACCACUAAAUCUGUGUUUAUAGGGUAUAGCUUACAACAUAAAGGAUACAAAUGUCUAGAUAGCACAGGCAAAGUUUAUGUAGCUAGACAUGUGAUUUUCAAUGAGAAUGAGUUUCCUUUUGUUAUAGAUAAGAACUUUGAGACUAACAAAAGUGAAAGCAGGACAAGUAGUCAACCUAACUAUCAUCAGCUUCGAUUACUUCCUUGUGGCACUUUCUCAACUCCACAAUCAAACAACAAUCCAUACAAAACAUCCAAAGAGGGUGAACAUAACUCCACACAAGAUACAAUGCAAGCAUCAUUCGAAAAUCAAAUCAGAACACCAAACCAAGACCAGAUCCAAACACAUCAACCAAACACAGAAACAUAAUUGGAGAUAGUCAAUAUAGAACCUGAACGACCAUUAGAACCAUUAAACACACACCCUAUGGUAACCAGAUCCAAACAUGGAAUCUACAAGCCUAAAAUAUACCUUACACAAAGGAGUUCAUAUGAGUUACCAACAAAUAUAGUAAGUGCUAUCAGGAAUGUGAAAUGAAGAAAUGCUAUGUUGGAUGAAUACAAAGCUCUACUGGAAAACAAAACUUGGGAAUUGGUGAAAGUUCAAGAGGGUACAAAGGUCAUCGGAAACAAAUGGGUGUACAAAGUAAAACACAAUCUAGAUGGGACAGUAGCGAGACACAAGGGAGAUUAGUGGCCAAAGGCUAUAACCAAACAGCAGAGGUUGAUUACACAGAAACCUUCAGUCCAGUGGCCAAGUCAUCCACAAUCAAGGUACUCUUGAGUUUGGCUGUCAACUAUGGUUGGGACAUCAAACAAGUAGAUGUCAACAAUGCCUUUUUUAAUAGAGAACUAAAUGAAACCGUGUUCAUGGAGCAACCAGAAGGAUUCAAAGUGAAAGGAAAGGAAAACUAUGUAUGUAGACUAAAGAAAGCACUCUAUGGAUUGAAACAAGCUCCAAGGGCUUGGUAUGAAAAGCUCAAAGCUGCCCUACUCAACUGGGGAUACAAGAACUCAGUCUCGGAUACCUCACUGUUUCAUUGGAGGGAUAAUAAAGAAGUCAUAUACGUACUUGUGUAUGUAGAUGACAUACUCAUAACUGGUAGUAGCCAAGAUCCUGUCAAUGACCUGAUUAAAAAACUUAAUGAGAGUUUCGCGUUGAAGGAGCUAGACUCAUUAAGUUAUUUUCUUGGAAUUAAAGUAAAAAAGGACCGUGCAGGGAUGCAUAUUUGCCAAAGCAAGUAUGUGCAAGAACUUCUAGAGAAGACAAACAUGAAAGGGUGCAAAGAAAGCAUAACCCCAUUAAGUUCAAGUGUGAAGUACACCUUGGAGACUGAAGAAGAAGAGAGAGGACAACUUUUUGAAGACAAAACUCUCUACAGUAGUGUCAUUGAAGCUUUGCAGUAUGCAACCAUCACCCGGCCAGACAUUGCUUACAGCGUCAAUAAACUAAGUCAAUUCAUGCAAGAAUCGAAAGUGAUACACUAGCAAGGCUGCAAAAGGAUCUUGAGAUACCUUCAAGGCACCCUAAAUUAUGGUCUGUACUUCACACCUGGAAACAAAAUGGAAAUCUCAACCUUUACAGAUGCUGAUUGGGGAGCUGAUAGAGAUGACAGAAAGUCUACAGGUGGUUAUUGCAUCUUUUUGGCAGGAAAUCUAGUCUCCUGGAGUUCAAAGAAGCAGAAGGUAGUAUCAACCUCCAGCACAGAAGCAGAAUAUAGAUCACUGUCAAAUGGAGCAACUGAAUUGACUUGGUUACAAUCCUUACUUGCAGAGAUGAACAUCAAGUUGGAGAAGAGGCCAAUAAUAUGGUGUGACAACAAGAGUGCAAUAGCUCUUGCUGAAAAUCCAAUCUUUCAUGGAAGAACCAAACACAUUGAAAUAGAUGUUCACUUCGUGAGGAAUAAAAUCAGCAACCGAGAGUUUGAUUUGAAGUAUGUGGAAAGCAAGAACCAAGUUGCAAAUAUAAUGACCAAGGCACUACCUAAUCGAAGUUUCGAAUAUCUAAGAAGCAAGCUCAAUGUCUUAGCAUAUGAUUGAGCUUGAGAGGGGGAGUUAAAAUAAAUGUGUCUGAGGUUGCUGCACAAUUGUUUGAUAAUAUACCUGAAUGAAGGCAUUGGCGGGAACUCAUGAAUCCCUUGAAUUGAGCAAGCAAUCUGAUGUUUGAAUAUCAGUCGUUGGAUGGCUAAAAGCAUCAAAGGUCAGGAUUGGAUGGUAAUCAAGCUGAAGGAGCAAGAUAUCACAGCUUGUUAAAGACAAGACUAAGCAACUGAAGACAAGAAGACAAACUGAAGUGUUAGGUUGUUAUAACAACUUUUGUAAUGACUUGUGAUGAAAUUGAUAGCCGAUGAUGCUAGGACUUGAUGUAACUAAAACAUGAGAACCUAGUUCUAUAUAAAGCAUUGUAAUGCAUUGAAUCCAUAGGGUGGAAAAAAUAAAAUCGAUUCUUCAUUUUUGCUUGUGAAUUGUGUGAAAACUACUAGCCUCUUUUUUUAUCUCUUAUAUCAUUGAUGUUGGUAAAAAAAAAAAAAAAUUACAAGAGAGUUAGUUGAUAGGGUAAUAAAUAUUAGGAAUAAGGACCAAGGACGGUGAGCAGCUGAAUGAAAAAUGGCUGCUCAUGGGCUGCAUGCAAACUGCCAAGCGGCUGAGCGGGUGAUCAUCUUUUCUUUUGCAGCACUGCUCAACUCAUACCAGUCUCAUUUUUUAUAUUUUAUGCUUGAAUCGAAUGGAUACAACACAAUCAUACAAUACAAGAAAUCAAGAACUGCUAUUGGCUUAUACGUACAAUCGGUAUUGAUAUUAUCAAACUUCCAUUACAUCGGAUCGGAUCGUAUUUAUUAUCAUAUGAUCUGUUAUAUCCGAUUAUCUCGAUCAUUCUAAUUCAUUUUAUAUUUCUAAGUCAACCACAACGUAUUAUUUUCAGCUCGCCAUUGAGGUGCUGCAACCCUAAGCCUUAUGUAUAAUCUCUCGAUUGAAUACAAAAACAGCUGUUCGAUUUAAAUGUGACUUCUUGGUGGAUCCCGUUAUGGACGCAGCAUCAUAAAUUACACAUACCUGACGAUGAUUACAUCAGUGAAGCUAUAUAUAAUCCUUUACCCCAAACACAAGAAGAAAGAAAAUUUAAGUGAUCCUUAUUUCUUACUCAAUAUAAUUAAUUUUUAUUAAUUAAACUUGUCCGAUGAGUUAACUGACAGUUAAUACUUUUUUGUUUUUUCUGCUUUACUGGGUUUGUCUUCUUCGGCUCUUCUGGCACUUGCGAUUCAUCUGCCGAUCAUUAUAAUAAAAGCUUAGUCAUUUAUGCCUUUUUGAUUAAAAAAUUUAUUAUUUGCAAUCUAUAUGAUUGUAAAAUCAAAGCAUAGUGAAACUUCUGAACAUUAAAAGCUGCAUUUUGUAUGCGAGCUUGUAGAAAUUAAAUAACGAAUAUUAUGCAAGUUUAAGCAGCCAUUACUGAUCUAUAAUUUUACUUGUGUGUGGAAAUGUGGAUCAAUUAAUGUGGGCUUAAAUAAAAAUCAAUGAUUUUUUGUUGAAAUAAUUUUUUUCCGAUAAGUACAUUGAAGAUCAAUUAUUGCAUAUGUGUUUAAGCAAAACACAAAGUUCUUCAACUUCAAGUUAUAUGAUUUAACUGGAAUUCUUUGACAAAUGCAUGAAAAUAUUUGUUUAUAGAUUGGGAGUGAAAGAGUUUAUGAGAAGCUGAAACAAAACACAAAGUAAGAGAUAAGUGAAAAUAAAAAUAAAAAUAAAAAUAAAAAUGGUGGAAGAAUAAGCAAAUAAGUAGGAGAGAGAAAUGUCAAUUAAGAAUUAUUAAUUAUAUACCAUUAGUAAAUUUUUAUUAAAAAAUUUAUGUUAAUGUGAUAUAAUCUAUACCAAAUUUAGUAAAAAAAAGGUAUGAUGUACUGCAUCAAAUAAUUCAACCGACCUCGAUCGCCAGUAAAUACCUGUUACUACUCACUUGCGUCUCAACCAGGGAAGGGUUAAUGCCAUGUCAGUAAUCAACUGAGGGAUGCGUACUGAAAGAUGAUUUGGUCAAGAAUCAAGCCCAUGAAAACAUAAAAAUAAUACUAUAUUUACUUAAUUAGAAUAUUUAAUUUAUAUCUCGAUUAAAAUAAUAAAUAUUAUUUAAUUAGUUAAAGUAGUAGUUAAUCAAAAUAUAAUAUCUAACCUUCUAUAAAAGGACCAAAAUGCGGGACAGAGGAAUUACAUUUGCAGUUCCAUAUAUAAAAAGCUCAAUUACAUUAUCUAGAAAGUUAUCAUCUCCAGAGUUUUAAUUUAUUUCAUGCGUUGGAGCAAAUUUGACAUUCGCUUAGAUUUGGAAAUUUCUACUAUUAAUUUUACGCCAAAAACGAUUGAUAAAUUUUACACGACUUACCCAUCAAAUGAACCCAUUAUUUAACUUUGUCGGAAUUUAAUUAUAUUACGAUAAAUAAUAAACUUGAGUUUUCAAUUUUUAGGGUUUAAAAGAAGGAACCCUAAGGCUAAUUCUAGCUCUGAUUUAAUAUCGAUAACCCUAGUAUAAUAUUUUCUUUUCUCCUUGCCAUGUCGUUUUCUGAUUAAGUUUUCUAAGGUGUCAGAACAGAGAAAAGAUAAACAAAUAAAAACAGAGCACAUAUAAUAAAUACACAACCUAGUUUCUAGACUCCGACGAUAAUUCGAAACCGAAAACGAAAGUGGCAAAAGCGAAAAUAGCGUUUCGUUUCUUUAUUUAUUUUAGGAAAAUUAUUAUUUUAUACCCUAUAUUUGUUUCGUUGUCAAAAAUAAUAUCAAUAGUUCAUUUUAAGCUGAGAAAAUAUAUUUACUGACUACUAAAUCAUUAGUUAUCAUUUGAAAGUUAAUAUAAUUACAACGAAUUGACGAUUUUACUCUUGAAACUUAAAUUAAAAUAAAAAAAUUUAUCACUUAUAUAUUUUUAAAUUUUUUUAUUAUCAUUUGUGUACUUUUAAAUUAUCACUUCAAUAUCUUUAAAUUAUCUUAUUAUCACUUAUUUUAUGUGGAAAAAUUAAAUUAUCCCUCUAAUGUCAUCAUAUUUAAACGGUAACUAACAGUUUAGUAAAUAAUAGAUAUAUUUUAUCAAUUUAAAAUAAAUAAUUAAUACACUCUUAAGAUAUUAUAGUAUUUUUAAUAACGGAAAAAAUUAAGGUUCCUUUAUUUUAUUUUCACUUUUCUUGUGAAACGCAGGAACUUCAACGUUAAAAAUUAUUGUAACGUACAAUAUUCUUUCUUUAUCCACAAAGAGCUCGAAAUUUUAUCACUUGCCAUUACUUUUUCGUUGGGCCCAUACCAAUCAUUCAUCUUAUUUACCAUUUACCAACAGUUUUAGUAAAUAUCAUUAAUUUCCCAAACCAAAGAAUCAACGUACUAUUUAAUUUAAUUUUAAAAAAUAAAGACGAGAGGUUCAGUAACCAAAGAAACAUCGGAAACUUCUACAUUGCCUCGCUACAUGUGCAAAAUUCCGGAGCCCACUCGCACGGUCUCACCUCUGCAUGUGAAUCUCUGAGCCACUUGUUCACAACGAUCACUUGGGAUUUAAUCACCUUGUAUUCCUAAUUAUCCUUUUAAAAUCCUCCACCAGUAUAAUUUUUCCCUAGUAAGUAAAAUAACAUAUGGAACCCACUUAUUAGUCACUCUUUUUCUACACACAACACAUGUGGACAGACCUUUAAGUCUCCUUGAAUAAUAUAUACACACACAUUAUGGAGUCAAUUUGAGAUGUUAGAAGUUGUCUACACAUUUGACAUUGAAUAUCAGUAUUGUGAAUAUCAUUAGACUUUAAUAUUAGAUUUAAAAUUUUAAAAAAAAAAAUCAACAAUUUUUAUUUUGACCUCAACCAAACGCUAAAACAAAUUAACGAAUCAAUCUUGCAUUAUCUCAUUAUCUCUCUUUUGCAUUAUGUUUGUGUCUACCUCACAGCAUAAUGCAUAAUAAUAAUAGCCCCACCACCAUAUUAUAAAAUAAAAAUUUUAUCACAAAAAACCGCAGAGAAUCACGGGUUAAAACCCCUAUAAAUUCCCCCAAUCGGAGAUCGUUUUCACCACCUCUCUCGAUCUCUACCACAUUCUCUCUCUCACUCUCUCACUCUCCCCCUAGUUGGCUGGCCAUCUUCUUUACUAGAGAUAAAAGAAGACUGAAAAACAAAAAAAACAAAAUGGGUAAAGCUUUACUGAUUGUUGUUCAUGUUUGUUUGGUCUUAGCCGGCUGCAGCUUCACUGUGUAUGGUGAACAGGUUUACACUGAGAGUUCCAUGGCUAUGCCACCAUCACACUACCACACGAUAACCCCGGCAACGGCACCAAGCCCCCACCAUCACCACCACCACCACCACAGCCACCCUCCUACUGCCCCACCGGCUCACGCCCCAAGCCACCACCAUCAUCACCACCACCCCCACCCGCCGGCUCAUGCACCGGCUCACACUCCCGCUCAUGCACCUGCUCACCCACCUUCACACGUUGCUCCUGCCCACCCACCUCCACCACACGUUGCUCCUGCUCACCCACCUCCACCGCACGUUGCUCCUGCUCACCCACCUCCACCGCACGUUGCUCCUGCUCACCCACCCACACCCACCCAUCGUUUCCCUAGGAGCCUUGUUGAAGUUCAAGGCGUCGUUUAUUGCAAGUCUUGCAAGUACGCCGGAGCUGAUACCCUCCUAGGAGCUACCGCUGUUCUCGGUCAGUUUCGAACUCUUUCAAUUUAACUUUCCCUGCUUCUAACUUUUACAUACUUCGUUUUUUCUAUCAUUAUUACUUCAAUUAAUUUCACAUGUAUGUUUAGUUAUACAUCAUGCAUACAUAACAUACGUAUGGAUGCGAAUGUGCAUUUGUUUUCAUGGAUGCGGUAUGUAUACAUUUCCAGAUUUUGAAUGGAGAGAGAGAGAGAGAGAGAGGUGCUCUUGAUCUCUUUCUUUCUCUUUGUUCUAGGUUUAUGUCACAUUCAGUAGGAGGCAUGGUUAUGGCAGCAUAGCUAGCUACUUUUUCCUUUUUCAAGCUCUCUUUUUUAAGUCCUAGUAUUUAAAUUUUUAUUUAUUCUUUUAAUAUUGCCCAUGGGUUCAAUCAAGCUGAAAAAACAAAUCUUGCUUUACUCAUUCUCAAGCCACAAGAGUAUUGAGUUAAAAAAGAAAAAGAAAAAAUGACCAC
rnacentral:lncRNA from 1 species